GAUAUCCAUGGUAAUUCUGGAGCUAAUACAUGCUAAAAGACCUGACUUUCGGGAAAGGUUGCAUUCAUUAGAAUUCAGACCCAACCACCUCACGGUGACAUUGGUGAUCAUAAUGAAAGAGCGGAUCGCAUUCUUGCGACAGUUCGUUCGAGCUUCUGACCUAUCAGCUUCCGUCGGUAGGGUAUUGGCCUACCGAGGCUGUGACGGGUAACGGGGAAUUAGGGUUCGAUUCCGGAGAGGGAGCCUGAGAAACGGCUACCACAUCUAAGGAUGGCAGCAGGCGCGCAAAUUACCCAAUCCCGACACGGGGAGGUAGUGACAAGAAAUAGCAGCCCAGGACAAUUAGUUCUGUGAUUGCAAUGAGCGGAAAGCAAAACUGUUUGCGAGUAUCUAUUGGAGGGCAAGUCUGGUGCCAGCAGCCGCGGUAAUUCCAGCUCCAAUAGCGUAUAUUAAAGUUGCUGCAGUUAAAGCGCCCGUAGUCGGAUAUCGUCCUCUUGAAUAGGAUGCAGAUGCCUUUUUGGCGUUCUAGCGCCUACUCUUCUGGACUAGAGUGAAGUAAGUUUCUUGCCUCACUCUGUUACCUUGAGCAAAUUGGAGUGCUCCAACCAGGCUUUAGCUUGUACAGCUCAGCAUGGAAUAACGAGAUAGGACUUCGGGUCUCCUUGUUGGUGUCAUGAAUCGAUAGUAAUGGGUUGAUAAGACAUAGGGGGCAUUUGUACUUGCUGGAGAGAGGUGAAAUUCUAAGACCCUGCAAGACAACAAGUGCGAAAGCAUUUGCCCAGUGUGUGCCUGUUGAUCAAGGACGAAAGUUGGGGGAUCGAAGACGUUUAGUAUCGUCGUAGUCCCAACUAUAAACUAUGCC
rnacentral:rRNA from 1 species